rnacentral:rRNA from 1 species
AUACGGAGGGUGCAAGCGUUACUCGGAAUCACUGGGCGUAAAGCGCGCGCAGGCGGCUAUUUAAGUUGGAUGUGAAAGCCUACGGCUCAACCGUAGAACUGCAUCCAAAACUAUUUAGCUAGAGUGUGGGAGAGGAAGAUGGAAUUAGUUGUGUAGGGGUAAAAUACGUAGAGAUAACUAGGAAUACCAAAAGCGAAGGCAAUCUUCUGGAACACUACUGACGCUGAGGCGCGAAAGCGUGGGGAGCAAACAGGAUUAGAUACCCUAGUAGUCC